rnacentral:rRNA from 1 species
GACGAACGCUGGCGGCGUGCCUAAUACAUGCAAGUCGAGCGGACUUUCAAGAAGCUUGCUUUUUGAAAGUUAGCGGCGGACGGGUGAGUAACACGUGGGCAACCUGCCUGCAAGACGGGGAUAACUCCGGGAAACCGGGGCUAAUACCGGAUAAUAUCUUCCUUCGCAUGAAGGAAGGUUGAAAGGCGGCGCAAGCUGCCGCUUGCAGAUGGGCCCGCGGCGCAUUAGCUAGUUGGUGAGGUAACGGCUCACCAAGGCGACGAUGCGUAGCCGACCUGAGAGGGUGAUCGGCCACACUGGGACUGAGACACGGCCCAGACUCCUACGGGAGGCAGCAGUAGCGAAUCUUCCGCAAUGGACGAGAGUCUGACGGAGCAACGCCGCGUGAGCGAAGAAGGUCUUCGGAUCGUAAAGCUCUGUUGUCAGGGAAGAACAAGUACCGUUCGAACAGGGCGGUACCUUGACGGUACCUGACCAGAAAGCCACGGCUAACUACGUG